rnacentral:rRNA from 1 species
CGAACGGGUGAGUAAUACAUCGGAACCGGUGCCCAGUCGUGGGGGAUAACGUAGCGAAAGCUACGCUAAUACCGCAUACGAACUCUGGUUGAAAGCGGGGGAUCGCAAGACCUCGCGCGAUUGGAGCGGCGAUGGCAGAUUAGGUAGUUGUGGGGUAAAGGCCUACCAAGCCGACGAUCUGUAGCUGGUCUGAGAGGACGACCAGCCACACUGGGACUGAGACAGGGUCCAAAAUUCAUACGGGAGGCAGCAGUGGGGAAUUUGGACAAUGGGCGCAAGCCUGAUCCAGCCACUCCGCGUGCAGGAUGAAGGCCCUCGGGUUGUAAACUGCUUUUGUACGGAACGAAAAAGCCUGAGCUAACACCUCGGGUCCAUGACGGUACCGUAAGAAUAAGCACCGGCUAACUACUGUGCCAGCCGCCGCGG